ACAUACUGUUAAGUUUAUUAUUUAUGAGAUUGCUAUUUCUGGUUUCUUAUAUAAUAGCAUUAUGCCAGGAUGCUCUAAUGUUAAUGUCUGCAGAACUAUGUGCACAUUAAAAGCAGACUGAGUCACGCUUUAAAUAAAAAAAGACAGCCUGAAAUCCUAUCUCCUCUUACACCUAAUGAUUUGCACAAAUCAUAAAUGCAUCGCAACAUAUACAGAACCCAUUCAUUCUAUAUUAUUCAAGCCCAAGUAUUAAACUGAGAUUUACCCUAAAAUAAUAUGUAUAAUAUCCUGUGAAAUGUAUUGCUUCUUUAAAAAUUUAAAUAAUGUUGACAUGUACACUAGGCUCAUUACAACUUCAGUGCUGCAUUUUGCAAAUAAAAAAUAAAAAAUUAAAAAACUGUAUGAACUCUACAUAGUUAUUCUUCCAAAUCUGGGCAAAUGUAAAACACCCUUCCUCUCUCUUGCCCACAUGCACAUACCGAUUUAAAUUUAAUACUAGACAUUGUUUUGGAAUUAUACAGAACUACACUAUCAAAUCUAGACAGGCAUAAACCCUAUCAUUUAGACACACACACAAGACAGACCCACCUCCUUUUGAAAUUCGGCUUUGCUUGGAGUUAGAAAGCACAAUAUGGCUUGGUGUGACCUCCUAUACACAUACUUUUUCUCAUUGGUAACCAGCUGAGCCAUAGACAUGCCCUUAUAAAUCCUUUUAAUUAAAAUGUCUUUUUUUCACAAAGGUCAAUGUAUUGGGAGGGAAAAUGCCCUGUCAGAGCAUGCUUUGACAUGCAAGAAAAUUUAACUAUAUAAGAACCUUUUACACACAUUCCCUUAAAAAGACAGGAUAGACACGACUACGGUUCCUGUUAAAAGUACUAAUUGAUUGGAGGAAAUGACUCUCUGUUACUCUUUAUCUCCCCUCCACCCCAAGUGAUUCUGUAUUACAAUGAAAUUGUGGUCUUUCCAUUGAUAGAGAUUGCAGUGACCUCUGGUGGAGAUUUUGGAAAAAUAUACCUAUGAAACCAGCAGAAACUCAUGACUUCCAAGGAGUCUGGCCCAAAUAAAGAGAGACUUCCUAUAUGUACAUGUGAGCAACAAUGAGUAACUCAGAAGCUGUGCCGAAGUUGCUUUAGUCAACUCGAACUCCCUAAGGUAGACCACUUCAACCUGCAGCAAGGCAUAACAUUAAAUGUGGAACAUAUCAUACAUAAAACAGGAUUAGACCUGGAUGAAGGAGGCAUGAAAACUGGAGAAUGGAAUAUCAGCAAUUUAAGAUAUACAGAUGACAUCACACUGCCACCAGAAAAUAUAAAAUACUUGGAACGGUUACUGAAGAAAGUAAAGGAAGAAAGUACAAAAUGUAGUCAAACAUUAAGAAAACAAAAAUAAUGACCACAGAUUAUAUAUAACUUUAAAGUGGACAUUGAAGACAUUUAAAUAGUUAAAGAUUUGCCACAAUUUGGUUUAGUCAUUAAUCAGAAUGGAAACUGCAAUCAAGAAACCAGAAGAGUAGCACUUGGAAUAGCAGCUGUAAAGGAAAUAUACAAAAUCUUGAUAUAUAAAGAUAUAUAAUUGA